ensembl:lncRNA novel transcript
UAAUGGCACAGAGCCUAAGGUCAUGUCAGUAAACCCCUUCUCCAACCCUGCUUCCUUUCCUAUCAGACAGUGAUUGAAUUUCCAGACCUUAAUGUCAACUGUUUAUCAGCUGGGCUUCUGAAACCUGUUUAAUGGCUUCUGUGAUGCAGUUUCUUCCUGUUCCGGAUUGUUUGAGCUCCAUAUAUAGGAGGUACCAUCAUCAUUUCAGAGACAUCAGUAUAAUAAGCCCAACGGGAGAAUGAUAUGGCAAUUUCUAAAUUUCCUAGAAGGAUCGCUCAGGAGGAUGGGCUUGAGCAGGCUGCCUUCCAUGUCACACCACCACUGGGCACAUUUUGUUUUUUGGCAACUGCCCCAACAGGAUUUUUUGUUCAUUCUGAAAAUCACAUCGCCAGAUCCAACACCUUUUUAUCCCAAUCACCAGUACAAGCCACCCGUAUCAGUGUACACUGUGGCUGACCGAUCCAUAGUGAUGCUUUGAGAUUGAAGCCACAAAAUCCACAGCACACAAAGACCCUGCUACCAUGUAUUCACUUCAGUGAAAGGGAAGCACCGAAAUGCUGAGUGGGGGCAGGUACAGAUACUUCAAUCACUGCUGAUGGAAGACUUCGAGAUACACUGUAAAAACUUUGAGAAAUGUCAUGACUGGGCACAUUGGAACUGAGCACUUGUACAGGAUGGAACAUCUGUCAGCAGAUCUCAAGAAACUGGGAGCAAAGAUAUUUCUUAGGCUUCAGGUUCGUAGU